AAAAAGUUCUUUUUGCGGAAAAGCCCCCGGUUUCCUCCGUUCUCUCUCUUCCUUCGACCUUCAGAACCCUCGGGUUCCGACCGACCCGACCCGGCCAAACGGUGGUCCUCCGGCAUCCUCCGGCCACGACCCGGCCUUCCCCGAGCUCGCCGUCGCACGCACAGCCUCCCUCUGGCCUCCCCUUGCAUCGCCGCUGCCCCCAGACGUGGAUCGAAGCCCCCCCCAGCCUAGCUUUUGACCCGAUCGGAUCUUGGCCGUGCCGGCGUUGCACGGGCCGAUCCUCCCCAUUUUCGUGAUCUCCUCCUUCCCCUGAUCAUCCUCAUAUCCUCCUUGCUUGACGAUUUGGAGUGUGGAGUGAAAGAUCACGAGUUGAAGAUUUCGACGUCCCUGAUUCAAUCUGGAAUCUGAUCAGACGCACGAGAUUAAUCCAACUUCAACGCUUGAUCUAGGACGAUCUAGGCCGAACCAGGCUUAGCUCCAGGUGAUUGACGGUUUGAGUUGGUGGACGAUUGUGGAUCGUAUUUUGAGCUGAAUUGAAGACGCAGCGGGAUUAUCGAGCGGGUAAUCCUACAGGACAGGAGAACCAGGACGGUGAUCGUGCGGUUAGAGCAAUUGUUAGAGUUUUACAACAAUUGUAAGUUGUGAGGUGUGUUAUGCUCAUUUGAGCUUUAUAAUAUAUUGAGAGAGUGAAUUGUAAUAAUGAACUCGAAGUUUCGAGAUUUGGGUUUUUGUAAUUGUAAUUAUUCAGGUUUCGGAUUUGAAUUUAUCAUUCAAAAUCCGGGGCGUGACAGUUUGGUAUCAGAGCGUAAGGUGCAUAUUUGGUGAUGUGUCAAUACCUUCCGAGUGAUGGCCCGUCUGCAGCGGAUCCCCAUCGUGUGCUCUUCGGUAUUGGCUAAGUCAUUGGGUAUGCGUGAGUGUUGGGAGUUGUUUAGGCCGCUAGGUCGUUUAGGGAACGUGAAUACCUUCCCUAUAGUAUUGACUUGGUUAAUAUGAAUUUGUAUUUGACUUAUACUGUGUUUUAAGUGUUAUACAUGUAUUAGCCAAGCAUACUAUACUCCUUAGGUGAUGGAUAUUCGAAGGGGUUGUACUUAGAACCUUACAGUUGUCUUGUAGGUUCGUAUGGGAAUAAGUUCAGUGGCCGCGAGUUACAAUCCUUGAGGAAUAGGAACCUCUUGAUUCAACUCUGUUAAGUCAACGAGGAUUGUUUUAUGGAAAUGAGGUUCUUUUGAUUGUUGAAGUGUUUGGUUGAAGGCAUGGUGUGGACCUAUGCUCGUCUGUAAUGUGGAUACGAGUAUUAAUCGAUGGUAAUUUUGCCUUUUUAAGUUGAAUAUACUAAUGUUCUUGAAUAGAUUCUUGACUCAUGUGGAGUUGUGAGUAGUGUUGCGGUUAGGGAAGGAAUUAUUGCGGUUACUUCUUCCUUGUGCUUGUAAGUUGUUAAGCAGGGUUUAAGGUGCGAGACAAGAAUUUUAUUUUGUGCUCGAUGGUUAGAGAUGAGAGACCAUUGUUUUGGGUUGUCGUUGAGUACUAUAAUUCCUUCAGAAUCAAGAUUGUUGGUAGAAUUGGAAUUAGUAGUAGUUUUGGUGAUUCUGAAUUUGAAUUGAGUUCGCGAGAUGUGUCUUAUAUACGUGGUUGAUGUUGCUUGCAUCAUUUUGGAACGAUACGUUACGAUUCACAAGGAAAACUGGAUUUGAAAUUUAUUCAUUUGAACACCAUGGGUUGAUGACCUGACCGUGACUUGUGAAUAUAGUUUUGUUCAAGUGAAUGAAAUUGAAUUUUGUGGCCUUUGUGUGGUGAACUAGUUUUCUUAAGUUUUGGAUCGUAGUAUGGAGAUGGGCUGCAGUGAAUUUGAAGUUGUUGUGUGUUUUAAGUUUAAGUAGGCGGGACACUUAAAGUUUUGCAAUGGAGUUGAUUUUGGUGUAAUUAAUUGGGAGAGUUAGAAUCAGUUCUUGUGAAUGAUGUUGGAUGAGAGUGUGUGCCUUUGGUGAUUGAUUUUAGGUGUUAUAGUUAAACGCAAUUUCGGAUAUUGAUUUUAGUGAUUUUGUUAGGUAUCCAUAGUGGUUCAAGUGAAUUACUAUGUGAUAUGGAGUUUGAUUUGAUUUCUGAAUCGCUAAAUGUUAGGGAUUGAAUUGUGGUGAGUUUUUGUUGAAGCAAUUGAUAGAUGGAAUUAUCGAGAUUCUAUAAGAGUUGUAAGAGUAACUCUAAAGACGUGGGUUUUUCCUAGCUAACUCAGGAUGUGUUUAGCUUUAUAAAUCCCUAAUCCUAUCGAUGAAAUUGUUGUGUUUGGUUUGACGCAGAGGAUACUAGCUAGACCUCGAUGCGACUUAAUUGAUUGUUGGAUUCUUUUUGAGUGAUUGUUUUUAUUGCAUCAUUAUGAAAGAUGUGUGCAGUAGAGUUGUUUAUGGUUUUGAAAAUAGUAUUGGGUGACCAAGGUUCGAUCCUUGGUGUUGUUGUUGGUUAAACAAACAGGAAA